UCUAUUCUAAGUCUUUUCAUCGCUUUCCAGAGAGAGUGGAGACUCUGCUUUUGGAAGCAGAGAGGAGCCUCCCCCCCUCCCCCUCAGCUUAGUCAUUUUCUCUGACUUUGCAGAAUUGUGACUUGUGCAAAGUCACAGAGAGCCAACGUCAGAGCUGCAAAUAGUUCUUCCACCCCCCUGUUCCAACUGUUAGAUCACUGCUCUAACAGUGCACCGGAUCAAAGGAUUUAAGACCCAGGAACCAUGAUGAUGCUCUCCAUCUUCUGUCUUGUGCAAACUGACUCAAGAUCUCUCCAUGCACCUCCAAAGAAGCCCAUGCUGGAGCAGAUUUGCUGGCAGGACUUGUGACUCCAUGGGGGACCCAAGCUGGAGCAGUUCAUGAAGAACUGCAACCUGUAGGAAGGACUCACACUGGAGAAGUUCAUGGAGGACUGUCUCCUGCUGGUGGGAUGCCACACUGGAGCAGGCAGAGAAUUCAGGAGUGAAGUUGAACUCAGGAAGAAAGGAAAGGUUUGGGGAAGGUGUUUUAAGAUUUGGAUUUAUUUCUCAUUAUCCUAUACUGACUUUUGAUUUGCAAUAAAUUAUUUUAGC